GGGUCGUUAGCUCAGUCGGUAGAGCAGUUGACUUUUAAUCAAUUGGUCGCUGGUUCGAAUCCAGCACGACCCA
rfam:Tolumonas auensis DSM 9187, complete genome.